rnacentral:rRNA from 1 species
UACAGAGGGUGCAAGCGUUAAUCGGAAUUACUGGGCGUAAAGCGUGCGUAGACGGUUAUGUAAGUCAGAUGUGAAAGCCCCGGGCUCAACCUGGGAAUUGCAUUUGAGACUGCAUAGCUAGGGUGCGGAAGAGGGAAGCGGAAUUUCCGGUGUAGCGGUGAAAUGCGUAGAUAUCGGAAGGAACACCAGUGGCGAAAGCGGCUUCCUGGUCCAGCACCGACGUCAGGCACGAAAGCGUGGGGAGCGAACAGG